AUUUGGUGGCACAGAUUCUCCUUUUAUUUAUUGAAUUGAUCUGGAAGAGGACACUCCAUCAACCAUAGACCACUAGAUAAGUAUUGUCUGGGAAACAUUUUAUAUCUGAUUUUUAAACUACACUAUACUAGUAACCUUUGAGAAUGGCAACAUCCAGUUUUAUUACUGAAACAUGAUCUGACUAAUUCCAUGCAGAUAGAUUCCCUUCAAUGCCUGGCUGCUUCCAGUAACCAUUAGUUUACUAUGUUACCAGUAUUCUGAGGGGUAGGAUAGAGGCUAAAAUGAUUCACACGUGUUACAAAAUUCUAAGGAUUUCCAUAA